rnacentral:rRNA from 1 species
AUUGAACGCUGGCGGCAGGCCUAACACAUGCAAGUCGAACGAGUGGCGGACGGGUGAGUAAUGUCUGGGAAACUGCCCGCUGGAGGGGGAUAACUACUGGAAACGGUAGCUAAUACCGCAUACCCUCAGAUGUGCCCAGAUGGGAUUAGCUAGUAGGUGGGGUAAGGGCUCACCUAGGAGACGAUCCCUAGCUGGGCUGAGAGGAUGACCAGCCACACUGGAACGGAGACACGGUCCGGACUCCUACGGGAGGCAGCGGUGGGGAAUAGUGCACAAUGGGCGCAAGCCUGAUGCAGCCAUGCCGCGUGUGUGAAGAAGGCCUUCGGGUUGUAAAGCACUUUCAGCGGGGAGGCGUUACCCGCAGAAGAAGCACCGGCUAACUCCGUGCCAGCAGCCGCGGUAAUUC